UACGUAGGGGGCAAGCGUUGUCCGGAAUUAUUGGGCGUAAAGAGCGCGUAGGCGGUCCGAUAAGUCGGCUGUGAAAGUCAGGGGCUCAACCCUUGAAAGCCGGCCGAUACUGUCGGACUAGAGUCCGGAAGAGGCAAGUGGAAUUCCCGGUGUAGCGGUGAAAUGCGCAGAUAUCGGGAGGAACACCAAUGGCGAAGGCAGCACUCUGGGACGUGACUGACGCUGAGACGCGAAAGCGUGGGGAGCAAACAGG
rnacentral:rRNA from 1 species